CCUACGGGAGGCAGCAGUGGGGAAUUUUGCACAAUGGGCACAAGCCUGAUGCAGCAACGCCGCGUGUGUGAUGAAGGUCUUCGGAUUGUAAAGCACUUUCGACCGGGACGAAACACCCUUGGCCAACAUCCAAGGGCCUGACGGUACCGGGAGAAGAAGCACCGGCUAACUCUGUGCCAGCAGCCGCGGUAAU
rnacentral:rRNA from 1 species